AUCGCUUCUGACCUAUGGCUCAGAUCAAGUGCAGUUCCUGUUCUUAUCAGUUUGGUAUCUGAUAUGCCUCCUGUGAGGGGGGCAUGUAUUGAAUGUCUUUAGAACAUGGGAGGAAACGGGAGCACCAAGACGAAAUCCAU
rfam:Lepisosteus oculatus linkage group LG2, whole genome shotgun sequence.